rnacentral:tRNA from 1 species
GCCGAGGUGGCGGAACUGGUAGACGCGCCAGAUUUAGGAUCUGGUGGUUCACUCCGUGCGGGUUCGAGUCCCGCCCUCGGCACCA